UUGAAGGACUUCACAAAAGCACCAUUUUAUAGAACCAGUGAUCACGUGACCUAACCUCUUGAAUGAACCCAUUUGGAGAAAUUGGUUUUGACGGCACCUUCAACAAAAACAGCCCUUUCUAAAAACAGCCUCACAAAAGACUCACGCAUUUAUGAGGCUGCAGAUGAACAAAUAGUGAGAGAGAGCAAUCCUCACACGUCUGGAGACAAUGAAACUGUUGAGAAGCAUAGCUGGUCAAUUAGUUAUUGUCUUCUUUAUCCAUUCCUUUCAUAAUGUCAAAAUCCAAGCCCUUCCUCAGUCUGUAUUGACGGCGAGCGCGUCAUCCAUCGGAGAGGAAGAGUCCGUUACACUUCAGUGUUCGGCAAAGGCAGGGAACCCUCCUAAAAAAUGUUGGAUUUACCUGAUUAAUCAAACUAACGGCCAAAAAAACAUCGGCUUCAAAUGCCAGGCGACAUUUACAGGCUCUGUGCUACUGGCAAAGAACUGGGCUCUCGCUGAGGUUAGGGUUCAGUGCUUUUACGCCGUGGAUAGGCAAUCUAUCACUCAGCCUGCUCCACACAGCGACAUCGUUUCUAUCACUGUAAGAAGAGUUGUUACUGGCAGUCCUACGUCAGCCAGUCCUACGCCAGCCAGUUCUACGUCUGCCAGUUCUACGUCUGCCAGUCCUACGUCAGCCAGUCCUACAUCAGCCAGUUCUACGUCAGCCAGUCCCACCACUGCUGCCAUAGCCGUGGUGAAUCCCACCUCCGGUGCCAAAACAUAUUCAUUGUGUUCAGUCAAUUUAUUUGCUAAAUUCACUACAGGGUGAAUUUAAUUUGCCCCACGGGACAUUUAUAACGUGAAUAAAAAUGGAUAUAUGUUAAACAUAAACUGAAUCUUAUUGUGUGUGUGUGCGUGUGUGUGUGCGUGUGUGAUUGGGGGGUGGGGGUUUGUUAAUGACUCUUUGUGGUUUCUUUAGGAACUGAGUGAUACUUAACUCAAUCAAUUGCACAAUAAUUUGUAAUUCUAUGUAAUGACAUAAUUAGUCAAACUAAAGUGUAAAGUGACGAAUGAAUGGUUGAAUGUUAGUGAAUUGUUUAUUAAUGUACCUUAUUGUAAAUUGUUACCAAUUAUCACCAGUUAAUUAAAUGCUUGAUUACUUGACAAAGCUUUGUUUGUUCUGGAUUUUGCCAUCCCAUAUUUCACCAUAGAAUUGUGAUAAUUCUCUUAAACCAUAUGAAGUGAAACCAACACAAAUAUCUCCUUCUG